GGCUUUAGAAAGUAUCAUUAGAUAUAGCAAAAGAUAUAUCUUAGAAUAAGUUAUAUGCCCAUCUCUUGACUUUCCUUUGACAUGUCAUUACACGAAAAGAAAGUCAUGCCAGUGAUGCUCUAAAGACUGUCAUAAGCGAAAAUAUUUUAUUUUAUUUUAAGUAAUGAUAAAGAAAGGACAAACAAAAUAUAUAUAACUAAUACGCAUUAACAUUAUAAUCAUAAC
rnacentral:lncRNA from 1 species